AAAGCGUGCGCAGGCGGUUUUGUAAGUUUGUCGUGAAAGCCCCGGGCUCAACCUGGGAAUUGCGAUGAAGACUGCAAGGCUUGAAUCUGGCAGAGGGGGGUAGAAUUCCACGUGUAGCAGUGAAAUGCGUAGAUAUGUGGAGGAACACCGAUGGCGAAGGCAGCCCCCUGGGUCAAGAUUGACGCUCAUGCACGAAAGCGUGGGGAGCAAACAGGAUUAGAUACCCCAGU
rnacentral:rRNA from 1 species